rnacentral:tmRNA from 1 species
AUCCUUGCAAAUUAUGCCGCCAUGGUCUAUAUUAUCGGCUGCCGGCUCGCCGGCUAUGGUGAUAAACGGACUAUGUAAUAAACCCAUUGGACUCGGGGGCAGUACCCGACGCCUCCACCAUAAAGCAAUCCGGGCGCGCUUGCAGGCAAAGCGUGCCUGACGGCAGGAGAUUGGGUUGCUUUAUGGCGGGGGCGAAACAGGAUCGACAAGGGCGUAAAGAUUGCUCUUUUACCCGGCAUUGUUCCGCCGUUAUCGGGCUUAUGUAUAAUUGCAAACGACAAUUAUGCGGAGGCACGUCUUGCUGCUUAAUUGCGGCUGACAACCUCACUUCAAGUCUUGUUCUCUCGCAGGAACAAGCGGGGUUGCAGGCACCCGGCAACAGAAGCCUGCAUU